rnacentral:rRNA from 1 species
GACGUAGGAGGCGAGCGUUGUCCGGAUUCAUUGGGCGUAAAGGGUGCGUAGGUGGCGCUGUAAGUCGGGUGUGAAAUUUCGGAGCUUAACUCCGAAACUGCAUUCGAUACUGCGGUGCUUGAGGACUGGAGAGGAGACUGGAAUUCAUGGUGUAGCAGUGAAAUGCGUAGAGAUCAUGAGGAAGACCAGUGGCGAAGGCGGGUCUCUGGACAGUUCCUGACACUGAGGCACGAAGGCCAGGGGAGCAAACGGGG